CAAUGUUAGAGUUUACAAUACUUCUUUUUGUGAUAGUGUAGAAACAGUGGGGCAAGAACUUAGGCAUAAUGUGUCCUAUAUUCCUCCCUAGCAGGUGACAUUUUUAUUUGUAGAAAGAAGUUAAGGAAUAGCAAUAUUGAGUUCCAGUGGGAGCCUUUCUGCAAGGCAGAGGAGGGCCUAAAGCUAAUCUCAGUGGACUUUGUGAAGGAUACUAGCCCUCCGACUUUUGAUUUGUCUUUCUGUUUUAGAGAAAUGAAUGAGUUAUGAAUCUUACUCCCCAAGUAGCUGCACAGAGUUCAAACCUAGACUUUUGUGCAGCAGGAAGGCAAGCACCGGACCUAUGUCCAACCAAUCACAAGCUCCCAGGGAGCCAUCCCUUUGGAAGAGAGGGAGCGUGGGAACAAACAGGCCUGAUGUCUGUCUUUUAUUUUUACUAUAAUGGAGUCUGGUGUUCUGUGGAAGCAGCAGCAGAAGUGGCAUAGAGCUGAUGGAAGGAGGGGUGGCAGGCCCUGCUAUAGAGAUUUAAGGCAGACCUUGCCAUUGACUGCUUGGCAGUGGUGAGGAUUUUCUUAUCCUGGUCUUGGACACUGCUACUGGAAGCCUAACGUUGAUCUAUGAAUCACCUAAAAUCUGUGAGCUAUCUAUACCUCUUGAUUAAAAUAGCCAGAGGUUUCUGUUUCUUGGGAACAUGCUGCCCUGGGCCUAAUCUCUGACACUCCAGUGGUAGGAAGUACCAUGCUGAUGGGGUAUUCUCAGGAAUACUUGAAAAGUUCCAGGAUUUGUGAAUAUUUAUUUCAUUUCUAGACUGGCCCUUUAAUGCAAAAUGUCCAUUUCCUUUGGUGUACUUGUUCUACACAAGAAAAAAAAAUCCUCAGCCUCAGGUUUCUUCCUGGCUACUUCCUGUUUCUUUCCAAUGGUCAAAUCUAGUCAUCCUUGCUCUGGUGUAUGACUCAGUCUAAGAGUAUCUCUGUGUUAUCCAAGUUUAUCCAGCUUAUAAACAUAAAUUACUUCUUUUUCAAUUACAUUUUACAGACAGUAUCCCAAACUUUUAGUAUGGUUUUCUAUUUAGGCUCAGAGCCAAAGUGUUUGCAGUCAAUCUUUGUGCUUUUGAUUCUUUUUUUAGUCGUUUUUGACUUCUAUCCAUUAAAACCUCUUAUUAUACCAUUUUUUUACCAGCCAUCAUCCUCAUAAGUCUCUGACACAAAAGAAUCUUUCUGCCUGCCACAGCCAAUUCCUGUUGCAACACCGUCUUGAAAGGACUCCAUCAGCUCUACACCCUCACCAUUUCCCUUCAAAUCCCACCUGCUCCAAGUGUUUUCUUCUUGCUUAGACUUGAUACAUUUGCUUCUCAGAUAAAGGAUGGUGGUGAGCACACAGCUGGAACCAAGGAAGAAAACAGGGCCUUCGGGAUGAUAGCAUUACUUUUCUCUAAUCAAUAAUUCAUUUUUAACUAGAAUGUUUGUAGAAAUUGAGACUUGGCCUUAAGUAGUUUUUCACAAGCAAAAGAAAAUGAGAGAAGUCUAAAACAAAAUACAGUUUGGGACAUGGACCAAACAAAAUGAAAACAUCUUGCAGAGCGAUAAAGACUGUGUAAACUUAUUUAUGAUUCAAUAGAAUUGCUUUUGCAAAAAGCAAGGGCAUGGCUCAUGUUUUGUUUUGAAAUGUAUCUGUAUUACAUAAACACAGUAAUUAUGGCCUUUGACUUGUCCUUGUAUGAAUGGAAGUACCCUAAAAUCUUACAUAAUUUGAAUCCUGCAGUUUAUGGAAGGCAAAGGCAAUAAGGCACUUUAUCACAGCAAAUAAAAUGCCUCACAAAGGAGACUAUUGCCUAUUCACAUGUGGACAGGUCUCAUCUUCCUAUGGAGAAAUUUACCAGGAUCAGGAAUUUCAGGAAUGACUAACUGGCUUCUAACGUCCUGAGUGUCCAUAAAUGAGAAUAAUGCACUCUCCCCCACCCCUCAAAUUCAUCUUUUCUUCCCUGCCAGCCUACUUCCUGCUUUUUCUGCUCUCUUUCCCAUGUCCUUACUUUAUUCUUUUCAUGCUCACAGGGGCUCAUGUUUACUUGCUAAGCUUCGGCCUUUUCCACAUUCCUCCUUUGAUAGGCGAACAUCCCAGCAGCUCCCCUGGGUCAUUCCCAGGUGAGUCCACCAGACUUCCACAGCUUCACCCCGUGCCCUGUGUCAUCAUGACUAAAGCUGAUCUGAUCUCAGAAGUCUGAGAGCCCCAAGGUCUGAGGAACUUGCUUUAAGUUCCUCCUGCUCAAACCCAUCUCAGCUGGAUUCCCAGACCUCCCCUGGCCAUCUUGGCUGUGGAGGUUUA
rnacentral:lncRNA from 1 species